rnacentral:rRNA from 1 species
AAUCUGCCCUCUACUGGGGAAUAACUAACCGAAAGGUUAGCUAAUACCGCAUGAGACCACGAUCCCUGAGGGGAAUGAGGUUAAAGAUUUAUCGGUAGAGGAUGAGUCUGCGUGGGAUUAGCUAGUUGGUGGGGUAACGGCCUACCAAGGCUACGAUCUCUAACAGGUCUGAGAGGAUGACCUGUCACACUGGAACUGAGACACGGUCCAGACUCCUACGGGAGGCAGCAGUAGGGAAUAUUGCGCAAUGGGCGAAAGCCUGACGCAGCGACGCCGCGUGAGU